AUCAUUUCCUGGCUCACGCCAACUAUUCUCCUAAACCUAAACAAUCUCCUCCAAGGCCCCGUAAUUAGCUACUUUCCUAAUUCUCUUCUGGGUCUAGUCUACUGAUUAUCUUCUUCAUGCGUAGGAUCCAAAACCAGCAACUGCGAUGCUUUUUCAAAUAUAGCCCCUGGAAGAGAACCAGAUGGUGAAGACCCCGCAAGAAUUCGCCAUGUAUGUUGCUAGAUGGUUCUCAGAUCUCGAUUGGAAACUUCUCUUGUUAUUUGUUCCUCCUCUAUUUAUCAUUGUUUUUCUCUUUCUAUCUGCUACACCCGUUAGUCCUUUAUCCGCUUUCGCCCCUCUUGCGUCUUUUUUCUUCAAUAGAACUACUUCAGCCGAUGAUCCAUGUGUGUUGCCGUUGAAUCGGAGUCAGGGGGUGAGGUCGUGGGAGGAUGAAUUGUACCGGUCGAGAAUGGCGGUGUGUUUGGUUGGUGGAGCUAGAAGAUUCGAGCUAACUGGACCGUCGAUUGUGGAGAAUAUUCUCAAUGUGUAUCCAAACUCAGACCUCUUUUUGCAUUGUCCUUUAGACGAAAAUGCUUUCAAGUUCUCGCUCUUGAAAUUGGCCCCCAGGAUAGCCACCGUACGCAUCUUUCAGCCCAAACCCAUUCCGGAAACUGAGGCUGAGGUCCGAGUACUCACCGCCUCGAAUUCCCCGAACGGAAUCCAGGUUUUUUCUCUUUAAAUUACUAUAAUUGAAAAUUUUCAAAAUUAAAUUUCAUUGUUGAUUUUUGUCUGUUUUUAUUUGUUUUUCUGGGAAAGAACACAGAGAUAAGACAAUUACACAUCUUCAUUUUGAAAUUGGGUUUUCUUUGGUUUCCUUUAUCAGUUUCUAAUGGCAAGCAAUUACAGCUAAUCUUGUUCCUUCAAGGGUAAUUCUCCACAAUUGAAGCUAAUCUAACCUACCAAACACUCGAGAGUUUCUCAACUUGUAUGCCAAUUUUCUUUUCAAGAAAAUCCUUUUCCCCAUUUGAUCCAAGGUCCCACCCCAUCUAAAAGUGCAUCUGACCACUGAUUGCCACUAUAUUCUCGACAGUUUUAAUGCAACUACAAGAAGGGGCCAUAGCCGAUAAAUGUGUUUGUAUUUUGCAGGGCCUACUGCAAUAUUUUAAUCUCGUAGAAGGAUGUCUCACAAUGAUAGAGGAGUACCAAAACCAAAACAACUUCAAAUACGACUGGGUAGUCCGUACUCGAGUUGAUGGCUACUGGAACGCCCCACUUGCACCAGAAAAUUUCAUCACGGGUCACUACCUGGUCCCACCGGGCUCCACCUACGGUGGUCUUAAUGACCGCCUCGGUAUUGGCGAUUUUAACUCCUCAGCGGUGGCCCUCUCUCGUCUCUCUCUCAUCCCCAAACUAGACUCCGCCGGGUUACGCAUGCUUAACUCGGAAACCUCAUUCAAGGCCCAACUCACCACCUACGGCGUACCCUUCAUCACCAAACGCCUACCUUUCUGCAUUGUGUCGGACCGCAAGUACGGUUUCCCGCCAUACCGGUUUGGGGUCCCUGUGGCGGCAUUGUCGAGCCCAGGUCCAUUAAGUGGGGCUAAAUGCAGGCCGUGCACGCCUGUCUGCGAAGGAAGUUGCGUUGCAGGUAUAAUGUCAUGGCUUGAUAAGGGUUGGAGCUGGACUAAUUGGGAAAAUGGGACACUGAAGCUAUGUGAUGCUCAUGCUGAAUGGGAAAGGGGGUGGGAGAAGAUUUUUGACGAGGUAGCGGGGAAGAAACGCGCCGCCGUGAGGAAGCGGAUUUCGGGUCUGAAAUUGAAGCAAUGUGUGAAUGAUUUUAAUGAAAUGAACAGGCGGAGUUCUAAGUGGGAGU
rnacentral:misc_RNA from 1 species